CUGCUUUCUACUCCAGCCUCCUCCACCGCCAUCCUCCUUUUCGUCAUCCCCAAGAUCCAGGAAGAUGCUGGUGUCAGCCGAGAUGUGCUGUUUUUGCUUCGAUGUGCUCUCCUGUCACCUGUAUGGACACCAGCAGCCCCGGACCCCCGGCUUCGCCAACGAGCCCUACCCACUGUUUGUGACAUGGAAGUUUGGUCAAGACGAAAGAUCGCGCGGAUGCCUAGGGACUCUUUCUGCCGUGACUUUGCAUUCCCGACGCAGGGAGAACACACUUAUCAGCGCCCUUAAAGACCCCCGUUUUCCACCACUGACAAGGGACGAGCUGCCUCGGCUUCUCUGCUCCGUGUCUCUGCUCACUGACUUUGAGGACAUUUGUGACGAUUUGGACUGGGAACUGGGUGUGCAUGGCAUUCGAAUAGAAUUCAUCAACGAAGAAGCAUCCAGAUGCACCGCCACCUACCUACCGGAGGUCGCAAAGGAGCAAGGAUGGGACCGGACUCAGACCAUAGACUCCUUACCAAGGAAGGGAGGCUACAAGGCUCUGGUUACUAACGAAUACAGGAAAACCGUCAAGCUGACCAGGUACCGUAGAGAAAAGAUGACCUUGAGUUAUGCUGAAUACCUUGCUCGUCGCCAGCAUCAUUGCUUCCAGAAUGGCAUCGGGCAGCCCCUGCCACCAAACAACCAUUAUUCUUGGUGCUGA